AGUUGCAACCCUCCUUUUUCUGCGUGGCAGUUGAAAACGAAAGUACCUCCAACCGGUUCCCACCUGCAACCAAUCAGACUGAUUUGCACAGAACGAACCAGUGGGAAACCUAUAGAGGGUAUUUAAACCCCAGAAAAUUCUGUAAUCAAUGCUCUUGAGCUGCUUGCUCAAGGCCUUUCCUUCCUUAUGGAGUGUACUUUGUUUAAAUCCCUGCCUUCACUGCCUUGCUUUGUUUGUGUGUUUUGUUCAAUUCUCUGUUAAAAACGCCAAGAACCUGGACAACUACCCUAAACAGGCAUCAAAAGCACAAAGACGUUGUACACAAAAAUAUUUUCCUUCUGUAUAUCUUUAUUCUAGAAGUUUUUUUCUAUUUAUUUAUUUAUUUAUUUUUUAUUUUGAUUGUUUUUUGCCGUUAAAAUUUUUUUUGUUAAAAAGUAAGACCAAAACACACUUGUUAGCCUGGGCCUACACAGGGUCAUUAAGACAUCACUAAGCAACAGGAAUUUUUUCAGAUCCAUUAUAAUCUUAUGGGACCACAGUGUAUAUGCGGUCUGUUGUUGACCAAAAUAUUGUUGUGUGACACAUUAAUGGGGUGAGGAUAUUAUUCUCUAUUAUUAUCUUAUGUAAUUUUUAAAUGCCAUCAGAUAAAACACAGAAGGGAGCACAGAGCUGCCUGGUCCUGCAGCUAUCCUGGAGUGAGGUGGUGCUGCUAACCACUGGAAGCUGAAGUCCAGAGGCUCUAUUCAGUCAAGGGGUGAUGAACUCUCUUUGGGUCUGGAGACAGGCUGGAACUGGGAUGAGAUAGAGAUGGGGUUUCACCGUGUUAGUCAGUAUGGUCUCGAUCUCCUGACCUCAUGAUCCGCCCACUUCAGCCUCCGAAAGUGCUGGGAUUACAGCCGUGAGCCAGCGUGCCCGGCAACAAUGAAAUAAUUUUAAAUAUGGAGACCCUGCCAUUUGCGACAACAUGGAUGUAUCUGCAGGACAUUAAGACAAGUACAAUAAGCAAGACACGGAAAGAAAAUAUAGCAUGGUCUCUCUUAUAUGUGGAAUUUAAAAAUUAACUCUGAAUACUUUGGAUUAAACUGAUGCAGCAAUCAUCCAAGAGAUGUCCACAUACGCACUCCUGUUAACGUUAGUUCCUUUCAUCCAAGCCAUCAGAGGUUCUCCCUGGAUCUCAUUUUUGGGAGUAGCUGACUUUUUCAUUCUCUGCUGGAGCGUUUGGGCUGAUUCAUCACCGCCUCCCCCACCACCAUUCACUGAGUGUAGCCCCUGGUCGUGGCUGCCUUUUCUGCUAUUUUAUAGACCCAAGCCUGAAUCUAUAAAGCGCUUCCCUUGGUACCUCCCAGAAACUUUUUAUUGCCUGUCUCUUUCUGUCAACUCAGUUGCAGAAAAAUACAUUUUAUGGCUCCAGUACUUUAAGAAAGCUCUGAAAAAUCAAAUCUGUCCAUGGGAGUGCCAGCAUACUAUCUAUUAGAUUAAAUGAAGCUGUAAGCAUCUUUGAAGUACAAAUGAUACUUGGAAAGUAAAUGAAACUGGGAAUACUUGCAAGUAAAAUAUGGGAAGUCAAAGAGAUUAAAGGAUGAGAACCAGAAAUUGCUUAUGGCCAGUGUCCUGAGUAAGCCUCAGAAUCGCAUCCUAGAAGCAUCACGUUCUUGCGUUACCCUAUGGAUCUAAAAAAAGACUUCCUUAGUUUGAUGUAGUCUGCAGACAUCUCAUCAUCACAAAAACUUGAAAGCACUUACAGCACUAAGAAACUACCUUUGCAGAUUGUAAAAAAAGAUAGAAUCCUACUUAGUGUUUUGAUCACACCUGCCUAUUUCCCCAAGGUUUUACUGCAGGGUUAAAGAAUGAAUAAGCAUCUAGUUAUAUUUAAUAAACUCCAUGCCUUAUGGCUGAUUCUAAAGGCA